rnacentral:rRNA from 1 species
CAGUAGCCACGGUAAUACAGAGGAUGCAAGCGUUAUCCGGAAUGAUUGGGCGUAAAGCGUCUGUAGGUGGCUUUUCAAGUCCGCCAUCAAAUCCCAAGGCUCAACCCUGGACAGGCGGAGGAGAAUACCAAGCUGGAGUACGGUAGGGGCAGAGGGAACUUCCGGUGGAGCGGUGAAAUGCGUUGAGAUCGGAAAGAACACCAACGGCGAAAGCACUCUGCUGGGCCGACACUGACACUGAGAGACGAAAGCUAGGGGAGCAAAUGGGAUUAGAUACCCCAGUAGUCCCUGUCUCUUAUAC